rnacentral:rRNA from 1 species
UACGUAGGAGGCGAGCGUUGUCCGGAGUUACUGGGCGUAAAGGGUGCGCAGGCGGCCGCGCGCGUGGGUGGUGAAAUCUCCCGGCUCAACUGGGAGGGGGCCAUCCAGACGGCGUGGCUUGAGGCUCGGAGGGGGGCGUGGAAUUCCGGGUGGAGCGGUGAAAUGCGUAGAGAUCCGGAGGAACACCGACGGCGAAGGCAGGUCACUGGGCCGCAACUGACGCUGAGGAGCGAAAGCGUGGGGAGCAAACAGGG